rnacentral:rRNA from 1 species
AAACUUUACAAUGCUGGAAACAGCGAUAGGGGGACUUUGAGUGCCAGGAUACAAUUCUGGCUGUCGUCGUGCCUAAAAAGCACGGCAUAGCAAGGGCCGGGCAAGACCGGUGCCAGCCGCCGCGGUAACACCGGCGGCUCGAGUGGUAACCGCUAUUAUUGGGUCUAAAGGGUCUGUAGCCGGCUGAAAAAGUCUCUUGGGAAAUCUGGCUGCUCAACAGUCAGGCUUCCAGGGGAUACUCUUCGGCUCGGGACCGGGAGAGGUGAGAGGUACUUCAUGGGUAGGGGUGAAAUCUUGUAAUCCUUGAAGGACCACCAGUGGCGAAGGCGUCUCACCAGAACGGAUCCGACGGCAAGGGACGAAAGCUAGGGGCACGAACCGGA